rnacentral:lncRNA from 1 species
UCCCAAGUGAUUUAUUCCCUUUGUGUGACAUUGCACUAUUGCAGUUGCAGUCGAAGUCCUCGCGUUGCUGAGUCCCUCAAACAGCCUGCUGAUUUCUGAGCACAACAUCAAUCUUAAGUGAUUUCGUCGGCCGAAAGCGUCAGACGUUGAAUUCUGAGCACAGCAUCACCAUGGCUCAAAAUUAUUUGGUCGGCCGAAAGCGUCAGACAUUGAAUUCACCAUCUGAUAAGGGUAUGAAGGUGAAUUCCAUCAGUGCUGUACUUAAACAUUCUCUGUCAGUAGUUCCAUGUCCAGACGGGACAGAACAUCUAUGGGAUAGAAUCAUAUGCUACGUUGGACUUGGUUAUUCAGUGAGAAGAAUAACGUGAGCUGUACUUAAACAUUCUCUGUCAGUAGUUCCAUGUCCAGACGGGACAGAACAUCUAUGGGAUAGAAUCAUAUGCUACGUUGGACUUGGUUAUUCAGUGAGAAGAAUAACGUGAGAAGAAUAACAACACACAACAUUUCUCAUUAGACUUGCAGUUCUUCUUCGCGUUCAGUUAGGGAUGACGACUUCAAAGACAAAACAUCUGGAACAGGUUGGAAAGAAUUGCUUCUCGUUCCUUCCAACAACCGGCUUUUCGUAACAACUGUUUCUAUCUCUCGUUUCACCAUGUUGAAUUCAACUUGACCGACAUCAGCAGUACUGCAGGAGCGACGCUUUCACUUUCAGAGCCUCAGGAACGCGAGGACUUCGACUGCAGUAUCACACAAAGAGACAGUGUUGCCACGAAAAAAAUCAUGAUCGGGAUCGUUUACUGUUAUAUUAAAGUCUGUUGGAGACAAUGUUGUCAUAACAUGCUUCAAAACUCUCCCUGUAACAAUUUCCCCUCCACUUUCUUUAAUGUAACUUUGCAAUUCUUCUACACAAAGAGAAAUACAGAUGGGAAAUAACAAA